rnacentral:rRNA from 1 species
UACAGAGGGGGCAAGCGUUGUUCGGAAUUACUGGGCGUAAAGGGCGCGUAGGCGGCCUGCUAAGUCGAACGUGAAAUCCCUGGGCUCAACCCAGGAACUGCGUCCGAUACUGGUUGGCUUGAAUCCGGGAGAGGAACGCGGAAUUCCAGGUGUAGCGGUGAAAUGCGUAGAUAUCUGGAGGAACACCGGUGGCGAAGGCGGGUCUCUGGGCAACAACUGACGCUGAGGCACGAAGGCCAGGGGAGCAAACGGG